rnacentral:lncRNA from 1 species
UCAGAGGGGGUGGUUGUGUCCGUCACUCACCAGGCUCACACCUCAUAGAGGAUCACAGGGAAAUCCACGUGGAUGCGGGGAGGGAUCCAGCUUCACGAUGCCCUGAGGAAUCAAAUUCUUAUACACCCGCCUCAGCUUGGCCCGCUUCUGGCCGUUCUUGGAGACGAUUGUCUCCUCAUAGAACUCAUGAGCCAGAUCCCCCUCCACGUCAUAGAACAUGGAGCUACGGCACGUGAAUACGAAGGGGGCACCCCUCGGCCUCGAGGCCUCACUAAGGCUUGCUCAGCGCCCGUAGUCUCCAGGACUUCGCCUCCCGCCACUGAGGUUCUGUGUGGGAUAGAUGAGACAUUCUGCUCAUCAAGGGACAAGGAGCCUGGUGCCAUUUUAACAGCUGCUUCCAAGAUCUCUACAGCAGAGGGAAGGGCAUGGUGUACUGUCUCUUAAAGUAGCGCUGUCAUCUUGGCUCACAUUUUAUUGGUGAGAGCAAGCUACAUGGGUCUUGUUGUACAGCUUUAAAGAGAAGAGGGAAGUGCAAUUAUAGACCACCCCGUGCACAGAGGAAGAAGACCAGGAUGUUUGUGAAUAUCCCUCCUGACUAUCACCAGGUAGAAACAGGUGAUAUGAUCUUCUGACUGAUACACAGGUAACUUUUGGCUCAUGAAGAACCCCCAGGUCAAAGUCAAGGUCAGCAGCUGCUCCCAGGCCUCUGGUUUGGAAUUAAGUUUUCAGACUAGGUCUUUUCUCCCUUCUUACUUCUCCAGUCAAUUAUAUUUAAGCUGAUGGGUGAUCCUGUCAGCCUUAAGAAAAUAGCAGAAAGAAAUAAAUUUAUGUGAAACAUCCUACAUUCUAAUUAAAUUUCCCUGCUAUCCCAAGGUUUGGGCUUGGGUGCUGAUUUACACUCUAAAAAAAUUAAAAUAAAAGCCCAAAUUCAAGAAAGCGCACAAAAUGCUUUCAUAUUGUUUUCCAUAGCUGAUAUGUAAAUGAAAAGAAUGUUUUUAUUUCCC